rnacentral:rRNA from 1 species
GACGAACCGUGCGAACGUUGUUCGGAAUCACUGGGCUUAAAGGGCGCGUAGGCGGGUCAUCAAGUCCGGGGUGAAAGCCCCCAGCUUAACUGGGGAAGGGCCUUGGAUACUGAUGGUCUCGAGGGGGGUAGGGGCAGUGGGAACUUCCGGUGGAGCGGUGAAAUGCGUUGAUAUCGGAAGGAACGCCGGUGGCGAAAGCGCACUGCUGGACCUUUUCUGACGCUGAGGCGCGAAAGCCAGGGGAGCAAAC